AGAAAAUUUUAUUCUAGUUUUGAAUUUAAGUUAAUUUUCAUUUUACAUGUAAAAUUUAUUAAACAAUUUUUUUACCGCAGUAUUUAAUUUUAUAAAUUAAUUAAAUUUUGAUUUAGUGAAAAAUGUUAGUUCUGACAAAGCUUGUGCCAGCAGUUGCGGUUAUACUAGCAGUGCAAUUUAAGUUUUUCCAUAGACAAUUAAGAGUUUUUUAAUUAAUUUAUAUUAUUUUUUUGAGGUGAAAUUUGAAAAUUAAUUUUUUGAUUUUUUAUAUUUUGAUUUUGUGAUAUUUUUCUUUAAACUAGGAUUAGAUACCCUAUUAUUUUAAAUUUGAAUUUUGCUUUGGAUUAGUAUUAGUUAUGUUCUUUAAAAUUAAAGAUUUUGGCGGUAUUUUAUCCGUUCAGAGGAACCUGUUUUAUAAUCGAUAAUCCACGAUAAAGUUAACUUAGUUUAUUGGUUUGUAUAUCGUCGUUUAGAAUAUUUCAUUAGAUUAAAAAUGUUCGUUUAACUUUAAUUUGUGUUAGGUCAGAUCAAGGUGUAGCGUAUAAUUAAGGAAUGAUGGGUUACAAUAAAUUUAUUUUUGGUUUGUUCUAGUAAUGGGGGCAUUAAAUUGGAUUUGUAAGUAAUUAUGUUUUUUUUAUCCUGGUGAUUGUUGGCUCUAAAAUAUGUACAUAUCGCCCGUCGCUUUCAUGUAAAGUGAAAUAAGUCGUAACAAAGUAGGUGUACUGGAAAGUGUACCUGGGUUGAU
rnacentral:ncRNA from 1 species